GAUGAACGCUGGCGGCGUGCUUAACACAUGCAAGUCGAACGGGAAACCUUUUAUUGGAGCUUCGGCAGAUUUAGCUGGUUUCUAGUGGCGGACGGGUGAGUAACGCGUGGGUAACCUGCCUUAUACAGGGGGAUAACAACCAGAAAUGGUUGCUAAUACCGCAUAAGCGCACAGGACCGCAUGGUCCGGUGUGAAAAACUCCGGUGGUAUAAGAUGGACCCGCGUUGGAUUAGCUAGUUGGCAGGGUAACGGCCUACCAAGGCGACGAUCCAUAGCCGGCCUGAGAGGGUGAACGGCCACAUUGGGACUGAGACACGGCCCAGACUCCUACGGGAGGCAGCAGUGGGGAAUAUUGCACAAUGGGGGAAACCCUGAUGCAGCGACGCCGCGUGAAGGAAGAAGUAUCUCGGUAUGUAAACUUCUAUCAGCAGGGAAGAUAGUGACGGUACCUGACUAAGAAGCCCCGGCUAACUACGUG
rnacentral:rRNA from 1 species